rnacentral:rRNA from 1 species
UACGUAGGCAGCAAGCGUUGUUCGGAGUUACUGGGCGUAAAGGGUGUGUAGGCGGUUGGAUAAGUGUGGUGUGAAAAUCUCCCGGCUUAACUGGGAGGGUGCGCUACAAACUGUCUGACUAGAGUGUGGGAUGGGUAAGUGGAAUUCCUGGUGUAGCGGUGAAAUGCGUAGAUAUCAAGAGGAACACCUGAGGUGAAGACGGGUUGCUGGGCUGAUACUGACGCUGAGGCGCGAAAGCUAGGGUAGCAAACGGG